UAUCCUGUCUGAAUAUGGGGGGACCAUCCUCCAAGGCUAAAUACUCCUGACUGACCGAUAGUGAACCAGUACCGUGAGGGAAAGGCGAAAAGAACCCCGGCGAGGGGAGUGAAAAAGAACCUGAAACCGUGUACGUACAAGCAGUGGGAGCACCCUUCGGGGUGUGACUGCGUACCUUUUGUAUAAUGGGUCAGCGACUUAUAUUCUGUAGCAAGGUUAACCGAAUAGGGGAGCCGGAGGGAAACCGAGUCUUAACCGGGCGUUAAGUUGCAGGGUAUAGACCCGAAACCCGGUGAUCUAGCCAUGGGCAGGUUGAAGGUUGGGUAACACUAACUGGAGGACCGAACCGACUAAUGUUGAAAAAUUAGCGGAUGACCUGUGGCUGGGGGUGAAAGGCCAAUCAAACCGGGAGAUAGCUGGUUCUCCCCGAAAGCUAUUUAGGUAGCGCCUCGUGAAUUCAUCUCCGGGGGUAGAGCACUGUUUCGGCUAGGGGGCCAUCCCGGCUUACCAACCCGAUGCAAACUGCGAAUACCGGAGAAUGUUAUCACGGGAGACACACGGCGGGUGCUAACGUCCGUCGUGAAGAGGGAAACAACCCAGACCGCCAGCUAAGGUCCCAAAGUCAUGGUUAAGUGGGAAACGAUGUGGGAAGGCCCAGACAGCCAGGAUGUUGGCUUAGAAGCAGCCAUCAUUUAAAGAAAGCGUAAUAGCUCACUGGUCGAGUCGGCCUGCGCGGAAGAUGUAACGGGGCUAAACCAUGCACCGAAGCUGCGGCAGCGACACUGUGUGUUGUUGGGUAGGGGAGCGUUCUGUAAGCCUGUGAAGGUGUGUCGUGAGGCAUGCUGGAGGUAUCAGAAGUGCGAA
rnacentral:rRNA from 1 species